UGACUUAGUGGCGGACGGGUGAGUAACGCGUUGGUGAUCUGCCUCCAAGUGUGGAAUAACGUUCCGAAAGGAACGCUAAUACCGCAUGUGCUCUCGAUUUUUAGAAAGUUGAGAGUAAAGGAUUUAUUCGCUUCNNGAGGAGCCUGCGUCCCAUCANCUGGUUGGUAGGGUAACGGCCUACCAAGGCUAUGACGGGUAGGGGACCUGAGAGGGUGGCCCCCCCCAAUGGAACUGAAACCCGGUCCAUACACCUACGGGUGGCAGCAGUAGGGAAUAUUAGAAAUGGACGAAAGUCUGAUCUAGCAACACCGCGUGUGCGAAGAAGGCCUUCGGGU
rnacentral:rRNA from 1 species